UCCGCGUGCGGGAAGAAGGCCUUCGGGUUGUAAACCGCUUUUGGCAGGAACGAAAAUGACGGUACCUGCAGAAUAAGGUGCGGCCAACUACGUGCCAGCAGCCGCGGUGACACGUAGGCACCAAGCGUUGUCCGGAUUUAUUGGGCGUAAAGAGCUCGUAAGCGGUUCAGUAAGUCGGGUGUGAAAACUCUGGGCUUAACCCAGAGACGCCACUCGAUACUGCUGGGCUAGGAUUCGGUAGGGGAGUGGGGAAUUCCUGGUGUAGCGGUGAAAUGCGCAGAUAUCAGGAGGAACACCGGUGGCGAAGGCGCCACUCUGGGCCGAUAUUGACGCUGAGGAGCGAAAGCGUGGGUAGCAAACAGGAUUAGAUACCCUGGUAGUCCACGCCGUAAACGGUGGGCGCUAGGUGUGGGUACCAACCAACGGGAUCCGUGCCGUCGCAAACGCAUUAAGUGCCCCGCCUGGGGAGUACGGCCGCAAGGUUAAAACUCAAAGGAAUUGACGGGGCCCCGCACAAGCAGCGGAGCGUGUUGCUUAAUUCGAUGCAACGCGAAGAAACUUACCUGUGCUUGACAUGUACGGAAAAGCCGUAGAGAUUCGGGGUCCUUCGGGGCCGU
rnacentral:rRNA from 1 species